UGAUGAUCGGUUUAAUGGGACUCGUGGGAGAAUGUAGAGAGCUAUGCGGUCCGUAUAGAAAUUCGGGUGGCAUGUCUGGCUGCCUGCGCCUUUCCUCAUACUUCAUGUUUUAACUUUCUGUCACUAUACAGUUCAUUCAACGAUAUUUUGAUAAUCGCAUUACAAUAGGUUGCAGACUGCAAUCUUGCUUGAAUUUCCCUCUCAAACCAGCAGAUGGGAGACAAUAUUCUUCCAUCAGUUCCCCCAAUUAUCGGGAGUAAACUCAAUAAUCUUGUCGCCAUCCUUUGUUCUGCUAGCAAUAGCAUAAUAAGAAGAAGCUUAGGU
rnacentral:sRNA from 2 species